AUGCAGGAUAAGUUACAGUACAGCUUGUGUAGUGCUGUUCUGUCGUUCCCCCUGCACAAAACAACUGGUUGCCUUCUAUUCCUGCUGGUCUGCAUCCCAAGAUAAGCAGGGGUGUUGGUGUCAAACAA
rnacentral:snoRNA from 10 species